rnacentral:sRNA from 1 species
UGCACCCAGGCGCGCAUAAUGCAACGCAAAGGCAGAGCUCACAGGUCGUCUUCAUAGCGGCAGUGUAACCUGUGAAAUAUAAGAACAAAGGAUUAUGUGUUCCAGUCAGGUAGCCGUGCCAGAGCCUUGGGAUGAACGCCUUGGCAGAAGGUAGCGCAGGGGCCAUAACAAGUGACAGGGCAGACAUCCCUAUCAGCUUCUUCACGCGUGCGCUAUGCUGACGUCGAGCAAUAGAAAGCCAGCACCAAUAGAAUUUGUUUAAGUAGUUGGUACUGCCAAAGCUCAAUAAAGUUGAAGUUGCAAAAGA